rnacentral:rRNA from 1 species
UAACUGAAGAGUUUGAUCAUGGCUCAGAUUGAACGCUGGCGGCAGGCUUAACACAUGCAAGUCGAGCGGGGGAAGGUAGCUUGCUACCGGACCUAGCGGCGGACGGGUGAGUAAUGCUUAGGAAUCUGCCUAUUAGUGGGGGACAACAUCUCGAAAGGGAUGCUAAUACCGCAUACGUCCUAC